rnacentral:rRNA from 1 species
GACGAACGCUGGCGGCGUGCCUAAUACAUGCAAGUCGAACGCAGUGGGGACGGGUGAGUAACACGUGGGUAACCUCCCAUCAGAGGGGAUAACACUUGGAAACAGGUGCUAAACCGAUACUGAUGGAUGGACCCGCGGUGCAGUAGCUAGUUGGUGAGGUAACGGCUCACCAAGGCCACGAUGCAUAGCCGGCCUGGGAGGGUUGUCGGCCAAACUGGGACUGAGAAAAGGCCCCGACUCCUACGGGAGGCAGCAGGAGGGAAUCUUCGGAAAUGGACGAAAGUCUGACCGAGCAACGCCGCGUGAGUGAAGAAGGUUUUCGGGUCGUAAAACUCUGUUGUUAGAGAAGCGGUAUCUAACCAGAAAGCCACGGCUAACUACGUGCCAGCCGCCGGGGUAAUUC